AUACGGAGGGUGCAAGCGUUAAUCGGAAUUACUGGGCGUAAAGCGCGCGUAGGCGGUUGGAUAAGUCGGAUGUGAAAGCCCCGGGCUCAACCUGGGGAUUGCAUUCGAAACUGUCCGGCUAGAGUAUGGUAGAGGGAAGCGGAAUUCCACAUGUAGCGGUGAAAUGCGUAGAUAUGUGGAGGAACACCAGUGGCGAAGGCGGCUUCCUGGACCAAUACUGACGCUGAGGUGCGAAAGCGUGGGGAGCAAACAGGAUUAGAAACCCUAGUAGUCC
rnacentral:rRNA from 1 species